CCUACGGGAGACAGCAGUGAGGAAUAUUGGUCAAUGGACGAGAGUCUGAACCAGCCAAGUAGCGUGAAGGAUGACUGCCCUAUGGGUUGUAAACUUCUUUUAUAUGGGAAUAAAACGCUCCACGUGUGGGAUUUUGUAUGUACCAUAUGAAUAAGGAUCGGCUAACUCCGUGCCAGCAGCCGCGGUAAUACGGAGGAUCCGAGCGUUAUCCGGAUUUAUUGGGUUUAAAGGGAGCGUAGGUGGAUUGUUAAGUCAGUUGUGAAAGUUUGCGGCUCAACCGUAAAAUUGCAGUUGAAACUGGCAGUCUUGAGUACAGUAGAGGUGGGCGGAAUUCGUGGUGUAGCGGUGAAAUGCUUAGAUAUCACGAAGAACUCCGAUUGCGAAGGCAGUUCACUGGACUGCAACUGACACUGAGGCUCGAAAGUGUGGGUAUCAAACAGGAUUAGAUACCCCUGUAGUC
rnacentral:rRNA from 1 species